GAUGAACGCUAGCGGCAGGCCUAAUACAUGCAAGUCGGACGGGAUUCAGGAGCUUGCUUCUGAUGAGAGUGGCGCACGGGUGCGUAACACGUAUGUAACCUACCUUUAUCAGGGGGAUAGCCUCUCGAAAGAGAGAUUAAGCCCGCAUAAAAUCACAGCACAGCAUUGUGUAAUGAUCAAAUAUUUAUAGGAUAAAGAUGGGCAUGCGGAACAUUAGCUAGAUGGCGGGGUAACGGCCCACCAUGGCGACGAUGUUUAGGGGAUCUGAGAGGAUGGCCCCCCACACGGGGACUGAGACACGGACCAGACUGCUACGGGAGGCAGCAGUAAGGAAGAUUGGUCAAUGGGCGGAAGCCUGAACCAGCCAUGCCGCGUGCAGGAAGACGGCCCUACGGGUUGUAAACUGCUUUUAGACGGGAAUAAACCCAGAUACGUGUAUCUGGCUGAAUGUACUGGAAGAAUAAGGAUCGGCUAACUCCGUG
rnacentral:rRNA from 1 species